GAACGCUGGCGGCGUGCUUAACACCUGCAAGUCGAACGGAAAGGCCCUGCUUUUGUGGGGUGCUCGAGUGGCGAACGGGUGAGUAACACGUGAGUAACCUGCCCUAGACUUUGGGAUAACUUCAGGAAACUGGGGCUAAUACCGGAUAGGAGCUCCUGCUGCAUGGUGGGGGUUGGAAAGUUUCGGCGGUUGGGGAUGGACUCGCGGCUUAUCAGCUUGUUGGUGGGGUAGUGGCUUACCAAGGCUUUGACGGGUAGCCGGCCUGAGAGGGUGACCGGCCACAUUGGGACUGAGAUACGGCCCAGACUCCUACGGGAGGCAGCAGUGGGGAAUAUUGCACAAUGGGCGGAAGCCUGAUGCAGCAACGCCGCGUGCGGGAUGACGGCCUUCGGGUUGUAAACCGCUUUCGCCUGUGACGAAGCGUGAGUGACGGUAAUGGGUAAAGAAGCACCGGCUAACUACGUG
rnacentral:rRNA from 1 species